AGAUAAUAAUAAUAUUUUUAAAGUUUAACUUUAGUUAUAUACUUUCUGAAUUAAUUAGUUAUUAAAAAUUAAUUACUAAAUAAAACCAGGACAAAAGUGUCUUAUUAAAGGUAAUAAAGUGUAAUUUUCAAUAAAUAAAAAAGGGUGUAUUUUUCAAAUUUCAAAUCACAAAUAGGGUAUUUUUAAAAUUAUCCCAAUUUUAUAUCCUCUCAAAUAAAUCAAAAAAUUUUACAUAAUAAAUUACACGAAAUUAUUAAUAAUAAAUGGAAAAUCAAUUUUAAACUUAACUCACUAGAUAUGUUAAAAAGAUAUUCACCUUGAUUCACUCGCCUUCACAUUUUAUAUUUUAUGUUGGCGUGAUAAACUCCAAAUUAACCUUCCUUAUUCCAUUCGAUUUGUGUUAAACAAAAAAACAUAUUCCCUUCUCAAUAACAACCCUACAAUCAAGUACCAUAUCUAAUUACUAAAAACCGGUUUAGUUCAAUAUUCGCUUUUAUUAACUACGAUUUCAUUUUUCCUUAUUUUAAGUUGCCGUGAUACAAUCCUAACUAACCUUCCUUAUUCCAAUCGAUUUGUUCGAUGGCAAAAGGCAUCUUCCCUUCUCAAUAAUAACCCCUACAAUCAAGUAACAUAUCUAACUAUUAUAUACCGGUAUAACACAAUAUUUUAAUAGAUGUCGUCGAUCACCGGAUGUAUAUAGCUCAUCUCCCAUUCAACUGUCACAGAUAAAAACACAGAAAUCGGUAUGGCACAAACAAAACUUUUACGCUUUAUAAAGACGUGAAGCCAUUUAAAACAACAUGGCGAGUGCACGUGAAACUACUUCAUUCGUAGAAAACAAAACACAACUAUGGAGGGGAUACACUUGAAUGCACGCAGAUGAAACUAUGAUUGAUAUUUAAACUGAGUAAGUCAAAAACCUUCUGGUUAUUGAUGGAACCAGCAGAAGAUAUCCUUUUCUUUUUUUAUCAUGUAUCAUGAAUGGUUCGCUUCUUAAUGUUUUAGAGAGAGAGAGAGAGUUCAUGUUUAUGUUUUCAGUUUUAUAUUCCUUGACGUGAUUGAUACGUUAGAGAUCAGGAAUAGCUCUCAAAAGGGUCUUUUUUUAACGGAUGCAAUGCAAGUCUUGUGCCGGUUUCUUCAACAUUAGAUGUUUGUCCACAUCGUCCUAAGGCCGGAGAAACAAUAAGCACUUUGAAGUUUGCAUUGAGCUAUGUGCUGCCUGAGUAAACAAUUAUACUUCAGAUGGUAAGGAACUCAAAUUAGUAACAUGUUUUUAGUUUUUAAUUUUAACAGAAUCUCAAGUUUUAAAUUUCUUGGCUGAUAGUAUAUUAAAUUGACUCAUACUUGGGUUUUGAUUUGUUGAUAGAUUGCUACUCUUAAAGCAACUUUCGCGAGAAAAAAGUAGUGUCAAAACCAAACAAGAUCAUAACAUAUCACUUAUGCUUCUAAGGAUUUCUAAAUUUCAGUUGAAUAUGAUGAAUAUCUCAUGAACCUAACAUCGAACUAACUACCCGAACAUAAAACAUUGACUAAUUUCAGUAGACUGAUGUCUAUAAAAAUCUAAAAAGGAUACUAUUAUAUCUUUUUUAACCUCAUAAGAUGGCACACUACACAAAAGAGAAACAAAUCUUUUUUAAAAAUAAUAAUUGUUUUUACAAAACAGAGGCUACCAUAAUAUCCAUUUAACUACACGAACACGUGACAUUGGUUCAAUGAUGAAAAAGAAUAACUAUAUUAUAAACGAAAAAUUCUAUUAUACAUUAUUUGUUAGUCAAAUAUUAAGAAUAUAUUUUACCAAAAAUAUAGAAAAAAUAUGGAAUCUAAUGAGAAAACGUGUAUACCAGAGGGGUGCGCGGAUCAAGCUCUAGUUUCAAUUAAAGUACAAGAUUAUAGAUCAAUUGAAUUAAGAUUAAACAUAAUAUUUAGGUCUCGAUGGAAAGACGGUUUCGAUAUUUUUUUCAAAAGCUAGGGUUUCAUGUAUUUGGAAGUUGCUCAGAUGAGGUAUGAUUUCGUGUUGAUAACGUAUUGUGAACAAAGAAAAAAGAAAGGAGAAUUAAUACUGUAUUAUUUCACAGGGAAUCAGAUAUAUAUAGGAUAUAAUACUUGGAGAUAAAGUAAAUUUAAAUAUAAGUAUAUCUAGAAUAUCCUAUGAGUUUAUCUCUAUAAUAGUCAUCCAUAUCUAAUAUUCAUAACAAAUCUUGAAUAUAGGGUAUUUUCCUUAUAAUCUAGAUUUUGCACCAAUAAAUGUAAAGUAGUCAAUUAUCUAAGUUAAGCUAUUUUUAGCUCUUCUUAUCAAAAGUAUGACUUUCAAAAUCAUCGUUUGUGUCAAAAUACAUGGGCUAUUUCAAAAUAUAGACAAUCACAUAAAAUACACAUGUAUAAAGGUAUGUUUCUCACUAUAUAUACAUCCACCCCUCUCAUGUUCUGUUAUACAUGUUUUUUGUUUGUUUUAGCAGUCUCGUGCUUUCCAUUUUAACAUAUUAGACCGCAUUUUUUUUGAAGAAAAGGUAUAUACAAUUUGUCUCACAUAUAAAACUCAUGCUUCUCAAAGAUUCAUUGAGGUCUUCUAGCUUAAAACUUAUCAUCAUUUCUUACAUAAUUAAAGCUUCCCUAUAUCAUAUCAUUAAAAAUUUUCUUGUAAGAUAUUGAUGCAAAGAUUUUUGUUAUAUUGUUAUCUCGUAUGGCAUAAUCAAUUUGGAAGUAACUUGUUUUUUUUUUUUUGAAAAAGGAUUUUUUUUGAAAAAGGAAGAAACUUGUUGAUGCUUUGGGUUUUGUUAUUACCGUAUCUACCAUCUGAAAAUUGAUGUUUUUUUAAUAUCUUCUGUUUCUAGGCUUAUAGAUUCGUCCUACUGUAUCUUUGAUUUGGAAAUUUAGCUGUUAUCACGAUAAUUAUUGUAGGUUGAUAUGAUUUCAUACUACCGUAUUUUGGUCUAAAAUUUAUUUUGAAACUAUUUGUAUUUUGAAUAAGCAUAGGCACACAAAAAAAGGUUUUGCAUAAGCAAUUUGUGGUAAAUUUACAAUAUGUUCAUCUGAUUGUGAAAAUUACAGUGUUGUUAAACAUGACUUCAAGCGAUGAUCUUCAGUUUCCGUUGGACACCAACUUCUUUUUGUUCUUGGACCCGCCAGAAAAUUUUAAUGCUCUCACGGUAUACUUUUUCAUCUCUUACAUUUUUCUUUUAAAAUUGACUGUCGGUGUAAAUGUAUACAUUUAUGCAUAUAAUUUGUUAAGAAGAUAAGGGUUCAAUUUAUUUGAUAUUUGAUACAUGAAUAUGAUAUCAUUUUCAAAGUGCUUGUAUAUCAUUUUGAGUUUACUAACUUUAUUUACUCCCGAAUAUAUCUAUCUUAUGUAUUCAUUUCCUCAUACAGGCGUGUCCGGAAAAUCCUUCGUUGCUGGCUUCAGAAGGUGUACACAAUGAGAUUGUUGAAUCUAUCUCUGUCUCUGCCGCCACAAAUGAUAUAUAUCACUCAACAUUGAUAGAAAAUCCGCCCACUGAUCAAGAGACAUUAACAACAAACUCAAGCUUUUGUCCAGAGAUGGUACCACAACAUCAAAGCUUCCAUCACCAGGACGAUUAUUCCAGAUCUUUCAACGCAGUAGAAAACUUUCCUGGCAUGGUGCAGCCACCAUGUACAUUCCGCAAUGGCCAAAGAGAAACCAAUGAUGUACAUCCCUCAACAUUAAUAGAAAAUCCGCACACUGAUCAAGAGACAUUAACAAGAAAUUCAAGCUUUGUUCCAGAGAUGAUUUUACAACAUCAAAGCUUCCAUUACCAGGACCAUUAUUCUAGAUCUUUCAACGCAGUAGAAAAAUUUCCGGGCAUGGUAUGAGCAUAAGUUAACCAUGAAACUUCUUUCGCUGAUAUGCAUUUGAUUUAUUUGUAUUUUCUCGAAAAAUUUACAACAUAGACACUUUUUGUAACAAAUGGGAGGAUAACCGAUCAAUAUGUAGACUAAUCUCAUAAAUAUGCAGCCACCAUGUACAUUCCAGAGUGGCCAAAGAGAAAGUGGCUACAGUGAAAACUGUUUGCUAACCUCGACGAAUAAGGUGAUGACAACUGAAUUUCAGUCAACUGAUGUACAACAUGGAUUUGUAAAUCAAAGCUAUCAACAACCUUCAUUGUCGCAAACAAUUCCUAAUUUCUCCAACGAGCCGUAUGUUUCAACGUUAAAGGUAUGAAUCUUCUAUAACUUUGGUUAUUUAAAUAUCUCUUUAUCUACUCAGCAGUCUCAACUCAUUCAAUAUUGUGAUGCUUCAGAUGGGGAGUAAUGCACAACAAGUUGGGAGAACUAAUGCACCAACAAAUCACAAUCCUAUGUUUCAAGAUCAUCGCAUUCAUCCUUCUUUGUACUCAUCAACUUAUAACAUCCUCUUGCCUCUUUAAAUAUAUACAAAGGUUUAGAAUUAAUAUUAAUACAAUUAUCAGUCCAUGCAGGUUUCAGGAAGAACGAUAUGAUGACGACUUACUACUUGCAAAACUAAAGCAUCGUCAUGAAAAUGAUCAGAUGCACCGACCUGAACCGUCCAACGUUCCUAAACCACCAUAUGUGGGGGCUAGGUUAAGCAAUCAACACCAGAUUCCUUGUGCCUCGUCAAGAAACAUUAUACCGAAUCCAGAGAAUCGUACUCCCAUGAUUUCUUAUACUCAUACCCCAAAAACGUAGCUAUGAUGAUUUUUCACUAUUUGAUUUUUGUAUGUACGCUUAAAUUAGAUUAUCUUACAAUUGUAGAGUUUCUUGAAUGAACCGCAGGUCAGAAAGCUAUUCACCAUUUGCGCAGACAUAUCAGUCUGACCCAUAUGCUUUUAAUUUCCAAACACCAAGCUCAUUAAAAACUACUUAUACUCGUCGACCCCGUGGAAGGUAACAUCAUGGUCUUACAAAACAAAUGAAUGCUUCAGUAUUUUUAUGAUCUAAUGUUUGAAAGAAGAUACAAUAUUCACAUUUUAUUGUAGGCCAAGGAAAAAUCUAAUUUCGAUACCUUCGGUACCUACAACUCAAACUCCCUUAACCUCUCUCAGGUACAAAGAUUCCACUACUAUCACAAUAUAAUAUAAUUAUAGUUAGUGCUUGAUGCAAUCUAUUUGUUAACACUGCAUUUAUCAUACCUUUGUUUAUUUAGACAUUAUGGCACACAAGAUAAGGGAAAAGAACAUAUUACAGCAAUCCCUUCUACGAACCCAACUCUGUACAAUCAGUAUCGGAAUUCAUACACAAACAUAAUGACUCCGCAGGUAUUGUCUUUUUUUCUGAUGACUAUGAAUUUUUGAGCCGAUGUUUGUACAUCUCCUCAGACCCGGGAUCAGAGCAUGCCAUCUUAUACUUAGUCUUUUAAUCUUAUCAUUGGACAAAAUGCAAUUUUUUUUCUUGUCAAUAAAUGAACAAUACAACCACCUUUGAAGAAUGAGCUUGUUUCUAAUAUCAAAUGGUAUUAUGGUGUCUAAUAUUGCGCAGAGUGGGGUUUUAAGACAACGCAGUUGUAAUGAUCAACUUGAAAAUGAAAGCUCAUCGGCUAAGACAAGAGUAUAAACAUGCGCUCUCACAUACAUUAUAUAUAAUUCAUUUCUUUAAAGCAGGAAAACUUUUAUGAGUGUGAAUUAAUUAAAUAAUGAAUAUUGCAGAGGACCAUGGGAACUUUCCAAGAAAAAUCUAUAGCAGAUUCAUCGACGUAUUCUUUUUGGCAAAAUGAAAAUACGCGCUCAGGUGCAGGAUAUGCAGCUAAACACCAUCAUGACAAGAGGUUUGUGUAUGCCAAGUUUCCGACUAUAAAUAUAUCAAGCAAUUAAAUAUUAGUUGGUACAUAUUCAGAUAUUCUUAAGAACUCAUAUAAUUGGUCUAGUCUGGUAAAGUACGGUAAGGUUUGUUAAUUAGAAUCUCAAAUUCAAAUCUUAAAAGGAAAAAACAAGAAUUUAGGAACACUACUUAUACAGUUACGUAAUAUUUCAGGUCUAUACAAAAUGCAGCAUAUGAUCCAUUAUACGCAGCUUAUGGAAUGCCCCUUGAUCCCCACUUAAGGUUCUUUUGAUUAGAUUUGUUCGAAUAGUAAGUCUCUCCCUCUCUCUCUCUCUCUCUCUCUCUCUAAUUUUCUCAUGUAAUUUAGGAUUAGUAUAUAAAUAUUCUUCUGUAUAUAAAAACUAAACACAAAUAUUACAUUGUAAUCUGUUGUAUCUUGUUUUUCUCUGUUUGCAGGGCCAUAUAAUUUGCAUGUUUGAAGAGCCAAUAUGGUUUAUUGAUGGGAAAAGUAUUUCAAGACAAUCACCCUGAAUCGUAUAACCAACUAAAGAUGUGUUCGAUAUAAUAUAUAUAAUCUAGCUGUUCGUAACAAUAGUAUUGUCUCUUUACAUUUUUACCAAAAAAAAACAAUAGUAUUGUCUCUGUCACUAAGCAAGUUCACUUUCGGCGGUGCGGUUGCCCGUAUGUGCGAGUUGUAGAAAAACAUGCAUGUAUUUUAAGAUUAUUAUUGAUACUAACUACAUUUGACCAAAAUUACCACAUUGUGCAUGAGUUCUGUUGAAUAUUUGUGUUUGUGGUAUUUAUUAGUAUGUGAGACUAAUUUAUCUGGAAAUAUGAGUAAACGAAAUGAAGAAUUUAAGGGCAGAAAAGGCCGGAGGCCCGGAGCAACAAUAAUGGACCAGUAAAGAGACAACUACUAUUAUAAGGAGUAGCCCUUGCUAGAGUAUAUUGGUUCCAAAUAAAAUUUGUAAGCUUAGGAAAAGGAGCCUGUCGGAUCGCGAAACAGAGAAGGUGUUACACGAGUUGAUGGAUGUGUAACUCACGGUUACAAGUCAGUUAUGAGACGAUGACGUGUCAGUGUCUCAUUGGUUCCAGGAUAUUACUUUGGCGUGAAACAAUAUUAGGAAAGAUAGAAUAUGAUGUUAAGGGUAUUUAACCUGAUUACUUUGGAUAUAUCUAGGUUAGCCGUUUAAGAUUGAAAAAGCUAGGGCAAGAGGUUUGUUCUUGAGAGCUGAAGAAAUACGAGUGACCUUGUGUGCAGCUCGUGUUUCUGUUUUGUGAGAUUAGAAAUUGGUCUGUCUCUAGUCGUGUGUGACUGAGAGUAAUUCAGAUUAAACAGAUCUAGGAAGAUUGUUUAACAGAUUUCUAAUAUACAAGAAAGCGUUCUUGGUAUCCUGCGUUUUUGUUCCUGUAACUGGUAGUCUCUGAACUUUCAUUUGGUAUCAGAGCAGGAAACCUCUGUGGUAUCAUAUACUACUAACAGGUUCAGAUCCUGUUUCAUGGACACCAUGAAGGAACUAUUCGGGAUUCAUAAACCUAUCAUGCUGGACAGUUGCAACUUCGGUCAUUGGAAGGCAAGGAUGCGACAGUUGAUCAGAGAAAUUGAUGAGGAUGAAUGGACCACAGUAGAGGAAGGUUGGUAUGUCCCAACAAUGAUGACCGAUGGCAAAACCUUGGCCCCAAACCCAAAGGAUAGGUGGACUGAUCAAGAGAAGGCAGCAUCGAAGUUCAACUCUAAAGCCCUCACUGCAAUCUUAUCUUCGGUGGAUCUGGACCAGUUUAAAAUCAUCCAAG